rfam:Natronolimnobius innermongolicus JCM 12255 contig_28, whole genome shotgun sequence.
UACUCGUGGCGGCGAAAGCCAAGGUCUGUCGGGAGUAACCGACGUUAGGGAAUUCGGCAAGUUAGUCCCGUACGUUCGCAAUAAGGGAUGCCUGCCCUGCAAAGGGGCAGGUCGCAGUGACUCGGGCGCUCCAACUGUCUAGUAACAACAUAGGUGACCGCAAAUCCGAAAGGACUCGUACGGUCACUGAAUCCUGCCCAGUGCGGGUAUCUGAACACCCCUUACAAGGGGACGAAGGACCCGUUAACGGCGGGGGUA